UACAGAGGGUGCGAGCGUUAAUCGGAUUUACUGGGCGUAAAGCGUGCGCAGGCGGCUUUGCAAGACAGAUGUGAAAUCCCCGGGCUUAACCUGGGAACUGCAUUUGUGACUGCAUGGCUGGAGUGCGGCAGAGGGGGAUGGAAUUCCGCGUGUAGCAGUGAAAUGCGUAGAUAUGCGGAGGAACACCGAUGGCGAAGGCAAUCCCCUGGGCCUGCACUGACGCUCAUGCACGAAAGCGUGGGGAGCAAACAGG
rnacentral:rRNA from 1 species